CUGCAGCGCCUCGCGGAGCCGGGAAUGCACCCAGGAGAAAAGGGCCAGAGCUGCUUGGACCCUCAGAGGAGUUUCUGCUUCUCCUCUUCCUCCUUCUUCUUUUCCCUUCUUUCUUCUCCUUUUCAUUCCAGUUUUUCUUUUCCUUCUUUUUCCUCUUUUCUUCUCCCUUCUUUUUCCUUCUCUUUCUUCUCCUUUUCCUUCUCCUUUUCAUUCCCGUUUUUCUUCCUUAUUCUUUUCCUUUUUUUCUUUCUCCUUCUUUCUUUUCCCUCUUCUUUCUUCUUUUCAUUCCAGUUUUUCUUUUCCUUCUUUCUCCUCUUUUCUUCUCCCUUCUUCUUUUUCCUUCUCUUUCUUCUCCUUUUUCUCCCUUCUCCUUCUUUUCCUUCUUCUAGUUUUUCUUCCUUCUUUCUCUUUUCCUUCUUUCUCCUCCUUUUUCCUUUUUUCUUCUCCUUUCUCCUUCUCCUUUUUUCUCCUCCUUCUUUUCCUUCUUGUUUCUCCUUCUUUUUCCUUCUUCUUUACAUUCCAGUUUUUCUUCCUUCUGCUUCUUUUUCCUUCUUCUCCAUCCCCCGCAGUGUUGGAACAACUCCUUCCCAUCCAAGCUGGAUCUGGAGCAGCUGUGAUGGCAGAAAAUCCAUGAAUUCCCAAAAUUCCAUCCUCAAAUCCCAAAUAAAACCCCUCGGAGCCGAGGCUGGUACAGUGAAUAAGCCGUUUUUAUUUUUUUUUUUUUUUUGUCCUGUGCUCACAACAAUCUCUCUUCUCUCCCUGACAGGUCACAGAUCAUUCAAAUCAAAAAAAGUUUCUAAGAGGAAACAAAAAAGAAAUAAUUUAAACCACACGCACAGGGCUCUCUCUCCCUUCCAACCUCCCCACAUCCCAACUUGUGCUUCAUUCCCGGGGAGCCGGAGGGGGCUCGAGGCUCCCACCCGGCCAAUCCCAGCUCCAAGCAUUCCCGAAAAAACCUGGAAAACAUUCCCACAAACCCACACGCAUCGUGCCAGCGGGCCUUCCCUGCUGCUUCUCCAGGUGGAAGGACCACCCUGGAAUCCUGCUCGGAUCCCGUGCACAGGACUGGCUUGGAAAAGCCGUUAUUUCAUUUUAUUCAUUUUUUUAAGCUUUUUCUUUUUUUAAAUUUAUUAUUUCUAUUUUUUUUUUCAUUUCUAUUUUGGUUUUUAUUGGUUUUUUUUGUGUUUUGUUUUAUUUUUUUUUUUUUUGUUUUUGGUAAAGUCAGAACACUCCCAGCUGUGCUAUAUGGAAAUACAGCUCUAGGACGGUCUUUGUUUUUUUUUUUUUUUUCUGGUUGCUGGUAAAGUCAGAACACUCCCAGCUGUGCUAUAUGGAAAUACAGCUCUAGGACGGUCUCCGAGGUGUGGAGACCUGACGGUGAUCAAGGCACUACCCCCACCCCCCUCCUGAAAAACAAAGGAAGUCAGACCAACACCUCUAGGGACAGAAGAGAAUCCUAUAAUGUGAUCACACGGUUACACGGAAUCUUUAUGGCAAAGAGAACAUUGAGCAGCUUUCAACGUUUGGGCUUCUCCCUUUUUUUUAAAUUUUUUUUUUGGCUUUUUUUCUUUUUUUCUUUUUGUAAUUUUUUUUUUAGGUUUUUUGUUUGUUUCUUUGUUUCUUACUCAACACAAGCACUUCUAGACCCUAAAAGGGGGGAGGGAAAAAUAAACAAAUCAAGGCUGGAACCCCUGAAAACCCC
ensembl:lncRNA